rnacentral:rRNA from 1 species
GGGGAAUAUUGGACAAUGGGCGAAAGCCUGAUCCAGCAAUGCCGCGUGAGUGAUGAAGGCCUUAGGGUUGUAAAGCUCUUUUACCAGGGAUGAUAAUGACAGUACCUGGAGAAUAAGCUCCGGCUAACUCCGUGCCAGCAGCCGCGGUAAUACGGAGGGAGCUAGCGUUGUUCGGAAUUACUGGGCGUAAAGCGCGCGUAGGCGGCGUUUCAAGUCAGAGGUGAAAGCCUGGAGCUCGACUCCGGAACUGCCUUUGAAACUAGAACGCUAGAAUCUUGGAGAGGUCAGUGGAAUUCCGAGUGUAGAGGUGAAAUUCGUAGAUAUUCGGAAGAACACCAGUGGCGAAGGCGACUGACUGGACAAGUAUUGACGCUGAGGUGCGAAAGCGUGGGGAGCAAAC